CAUGACCCCAGGUCAGGCGGGACUACCCGCUGAGUUUAAGCAUAUCAAUAA
rnacentral:rRNA from 1 species